UACCACGGUGUGAUUCAUGACUGGGGUGAAGUCGUAACAAGGUAACCCUAGGGGAACCUGGGGUUGGAUCACCUCCUUACCUUAA
rnacentral:rRNA from 1 species